GUGGGCGCGCCUCGCCCGGGCUGUUCGCCUCCGCCUACUGCCUGCGCCGCCGCUCCCCCUCCCCGUCACGGCGGCGGUGCCGCCACUACAGCGAGCGGGAGGAGGAGGAGGAGGAGGAGGAGGAAGAAGGGAGAGAGGGAGGCAGGUCCGGCGGCCCUCUCGGCUACCCCCAGCGGCGAGGCGGGCGAGGGGAAAGAUGGCGACGCUGGGAGGCGAGUCGCAGCCCUUCCCCGCCACGGCUCUGGCGGCGGCAACGGCCGGGGUGGGCGGCGGCGGGUCUCUGGGCUUGCAGGCGCCGCUGAACCGCGGUCUGGAGCGGGCGCUGGAGGAGGCGGCGCACUCCGGGGGGCUCAACCUGAGCGGCAGGAAGCUGAAGGAGUUCCCGCGCAGCGCCACCGCCCUCAGCCACGAUCUGUCCGAUACGGUGCGGGCAGAUUUAUCCAAGAAUAGAUUAACGGAGGUUCCUACAGAGUUGUGCCAUUUUGUGUCACUGGAAACACUAAAUCUAUACCACAAUUGUAUUAAAAUUAUACCAGAUGCCAUAGUAAAUUUGCAAAUGCUAACUUACUUAAAUUUGAGUCGAAAUCAACUUUCUUCUUUGCCAGCUUGCCUGUGUGGUCUUCCUCUAAAAGUCUUAAUUGCAAGUAACAAUAAGCUAGGUUCCCUUCCAGAAGAGAUAGGUCAGCUAAAACAGUUAAUGGAACUGGAUGUCAGCUGUAAUGAAAUCACAGCUUUGCCACAACAGAUAGGCCAGCUGAAAUCUUUAAAAGAACUAAAUGUCAGAAGAAAUUACCUCGAAGUUUUACCCCAAGAACUUGUACAGCUUCCCUUAGUAAAGUUUGACUUUUCCUGCAAUAAAGUGCUUGUGAUUCCAAUAUGCUUUAGAAAGAUGGUGCAGUUACAAGUAUUACUGCUUGAGAAUAAUCCUUUGCAGUCUCCACCAGCACAAAUUUGUACAAAGGGUAAGGUGCAUAUAUUCAAAUAUCUGACUGUACAGGCCUGUCAGAUUAAAACAGCAGACUCACUGUAUCUUAAUGCCAUAGAACAACAGCAUUUGCCACAACCCGUGGAAGAGAGCAUCGAUGACAUCUAUCCAAGUAAAAAGGACUCAGAUUCAGGUGUUGGUAGUGAUAAUGGUGAUAAACGUUUGUCAGCAACAGAGCCAUCUGAUGAAGACACUAUCAGCUUUAAUGUGCCAAUGUCGGACAUUGUGGAAGAAGAUCAUGUUGUAAAGGAAGAUUCAAGUCACCAUGCUAACUCAAGAAAAGUGGAAUUCCAUCAAGUAUCUUCUCACUUGAUUGUCAAUGAUAAGUCAAGAGAAAUAGAAGACCAGUUUGAUGAAUCAGAUACUCUUACUACUGAAUUUAUGAGUUACAUUAAGAGUAGAGCAGCAGAGUGUGAUGAAUUGUUGAGAAUAGAAGAGGACACACAAUGGCACACAAACGAAAUAAUAAAUUUAUCAGAAGAACAAACUAUUGAUAUAGCAAUGAUAGAACAACUAAGAGAAGCAGUAGAUUUAUUACAAGAUCCCAACAGAUUAAGCAUGGAUAUUUCAGAGAGCAGUGGUGUGAAUCUGUAUCCCAUGGAACCAGCAACGGCUUUAGAAUUUCAGAAGUCUACAGUAAACAGUCAAAUGCAGAUGGAGAUGUCUUCCCUUGGUCAGAGAGAAAAUGCUGAAGAGGAACUAGAAUUUCAGAGGAGGAGGGAGUUGAUUAUGGAGAAAGCAAAGUCCGAAGUGAGACCUUGUGAACAGGGUGAAAAAUGGUCAUUCAGUCAGAAUGAUCGAAUUGUUUGGAAUACAAGUGGACAAACCUCUCACAAUGAGAACAAGGAUAAAAGUCCAGCAAUGUCUCCUACUACAAACACCACAAUCCCUUUUGGCUUGAAGCCACGAUCAGAAGACCCAUCCCUCAGUCUUCCUCCUAUCUCCUUCAACACACUUACACAGGCACAAACAUGGGACAACUUUAGCUACAGUAUCCCAUCUGAAGGAGACAGUGACAAUGUGUUCUUAAGACCACAGAGAAAUUUGGAAUCAAUAGACCCACAAUUUACAAUUCGAAGGAAAAUGGAACAGAUGAGAGAAGAGAGAGAGCUUGUGGAACAGCUACGUGAGAACAUUGAAACAAGGCUAAAGAUUUGUUUGCCUGAAGACCUGGGGUCUGCUCUGAUGGAUGGUGUAGUUCUCUGCCAUUUAGUAAAUCAUGUUCGUCCUCGGUCUGUAGCAAGUAUUCAUGUACCUUCACCAGCAGUACCUAAACUUAGCAUGGCCAAAUGCAGGAGAAACGUGGAAAACUUUCUGGAUGCAUGUAGAAAACUGGGAAUACCAGAGGCUGACCUCUGCUCUCCGUAUGACAUCCUGCAGUCGGAUAUUCGUCACAUUCGAAAGACUGUUGACACUCUGCUCGCCCUCGGGGAGAAAACCCCACAAUCAACUUCUACCUUUCGCUCCUGGGAUCUAAUAGGCUUUUGUCUUUUCCACAUACUUUUUAUAGUCUUGAUGUAUAUAACUUAUCACUGGAAUGUGCUAACAGCAUAACCUGUUCGCAUGUGCACACAAACUUUCUGCUUUGUCUCUGACAAGUUACAGGAGAAGCUCUGCCUACCACAUCACAUCCUAGAAGAAAAGGGCUUGGUAAAAGUGAGCAUAACAGUUCAAGCACUGCUAGAUGUAACCACAACGAAACAAGCUUUAUUCACAUGAAACUCCUCUCUGCUGUUACCAGCUCCACUGUGCCAUCAAAGAGUCAAAAUACUGCCCAGCUUUUCAAACUGCAUUGAAAACAACCCAGUGCUCCAAGAGUAUUCUUAUAAUUCUGAUUUCAAAAUCACCUUUCAGACUGUACCUGUGCGUCGAACGACAAACCAGAAACUAAACUGAAACGUUUUCUAGAGCAAAUUGGCGCUUCACUGCUUUUUAUAGCUCACUUUGUACAGUACUUACUGAAACAGUCACCUCUCUGCCACUUACAGAUGUGUGGAGUACACAGCUGUCUUGCAGCAAGAUACCUUUGUAUUAUUAACCUAAGAAUCACUGUAAUCAUGGGGGGGAGGGAGAGUAAAUCAGACUUCUACCACGUUAGGUUUUUCUGCAGUUGCUUCAGGCUAUUACUGCCUUUUAAAAGUAUCCAGACAUCAAAUAUUUAUAUAAAUAUUAUUUAUUAGUGAGUUGUUAUUCAUCCUUUGGAUGCAAAAAUGUAAAUUAGGAAACUGUAUUUUAUUACUGCUUUUUUGUGGUUAAACACUUUAUUUUAAUAUAAAUAUUGAGUUAUUUUUUAUUCUACUUGGUGUGCAGUAGCUCUAGGUCUCCGUAAAUUGUAUUUUCUAAUAUGUAAGAGAGAAAAAAGCAAACACAAGAGGUGCUUUUCUGAAAAGGACAGCUAGCUGGAAUGCCAUUCUUGAUCUCUUCAAUUUGUGGAACAUUUUUGUCAGCAUUCCAUUGAGUUUCCUACAUUCCAGUAGCACUUUCCCCCCCCAACUAGUGAAUUGGCUGAAACUAAGAGCACACCCAUUCUAGUUGUAUAUAGAUGUUAAAAAAAGACAAAAAAAGGAAAGAUGUAAACUUGAAAAAUAAAUGUGAAUGAAUAUUUUUGAUCGCUUAUUUUACUAUGCACAAGACAUUUAACUUUUGCCGCAAGAAAAUUAACGAUGUGCAUUAGGAUCAUGUGUCUUGAGAUAGGAUUUUGCACUGUAACUUGAUUUAAAGACUACAGCACUACAGAACAAACAGUAAGAAACAGCACAAGAACAGUAAUGAGAAGAGUAACCAGGCAGCCAAAACUGAUUUACUUGUUUUCUUCGGUGAUUCCUUCGAGAGGAGAUAAAGUUAUUAAAAUUGCGAAAGGCAGACUCAAAGACCUGAUCUUCCAGAUCCAUCCUGCUGGGUCCAGGGCUUCUCCUUAUGGUCUCCAUCACUUCCCCACAGAACUAAGCACAAUGUUCUGCAGUGGAUGUUUGCAGGAUUAGACCUCUUAUCCCACAUCAGCAAUAGAAAAUAAGAUUCUUGUUCUUAUCGCUACUUUAACGUAUCAUUUAUUGUUAAAACAUCACAUAUUUUAGAUCAAAAAGUUGAAUUCUUGCCAUGCCUGGAACAUCUGUUUUCCUUUCCUAUGAGAAGCUUAGGGAUGUAACUACAGCAAGCGGGACAGGAAAGCUGCAUGUGGGGAAGAGCUGAGGGGCAGUGGUGAAUGGUCAGCAGGGAGUUGGACAUGUGUAAUGACAAAAAGGAAGCAAUGUGGUCGUGGGAGGACUAAAUAUUUAAGCAAGAGAAUGGGGAGAGGACUGUUGUAUAAAGGCUUUUGGGAAAGGUGAUGCAUACCUGACACAGACACGCUGUACUUAAACCCAUCGGUAUUCCAACAGUAGGUUUAUAAGGGUUAAUACAGUGUUUGAAUGUAAACUUACAUGAUUUAAUACCACAAAUCAGGUAUAUAGUGACAGCAGUGUGGCAGGAGGAGUGUGGGCUCACAGCCGAUGAGGCGUAGGGUAUGCAUGGGAUAUCCAAUUACUUCAACCAAAGCAAAAGAGUUUAUUUUACAGAGGGAACAUUGACUUCAAGUAUAAUUUUCUGAUUGGCAGCUAGCAUAUGGUUUCCUAUAAAAUGUACUGUGCACUUUAACACUAAAUUAAAAUGUAUUUUAAUAUUUUACAGAGCUGCACAAAUAUCUGUUUUGUCAAAAAGCACGAGCAAUGUAAAGAAAAUAAGUUUUCAAGUCAGAGUUUAUCAGAUUUUAAAUGCAUUCACAGAUCAAGUAUAAAAAAUAGGAAUAUUGAUUUCUGCAUCUUGAGGGGUAAAAUGCAGGUUUCCUGAGUAUUUUUUUACAAUGUAUAUAUGGCAACAUGAAGCUUUGUAAUUAUUAUUUUGACAAAUCUUGGUUUUUUCAUAAUUAAAAUUUUGUUUUUCUCCUGAUAAUGUCUUUCAGUAUUUGCUUGACGCUGGCUGUAAAUAAAGAGCUCUAAAUAUUUUGUGAUACAGCUUUUUUUAUGCAGUCUUAACCUGUACGGCUGAAAGGAGAACCUCCAUGAACCUUUGUACCCUAUUUAUAUGUGCAAUAAAACAUGCAUGGCAAAGCUCUACUACCCUAAGCAGCGCACAUAAUGUAUAUAGAUCUCUACUGCAGCUAUAAUUAAACUCUAUUAUUUGUAGA